CAUAUGUUUAAAUUUCAGCCAAAUAAAAGUCCUCUUGUGAUUUUCUAAAACAUUUAUCAUAUUUUCUACCAAAUAGGAUCGACAGAACUUGACUUAGAAAGCUGGCACACAGCUUCACGGAAGCAGCUUCUAGAGGAAUGCUAUCCAACAUAACUUUCUGUGAUGACAGAAAUGUACUACAGCUGCCUUGUCCAAUAAGGAGCCAUGGAAGUCAAAUGCUGAGGAUGGUGGCAUCAUAGGAUGAAUGGAGCUGGGUUCUUGAAACACUGCCUGGAGGAAAGACAGCAAAAAUGCCUCAUGAAUCCAACUGGACUGUUAGGAUGCUCACCCUUGGAGACCAGCAACAAUGUGUGCAGAAACCCAGGCCAUGUGGAGAGGCCCCACAUACGUGUCCAACUGAGGUCCCAGCUGACAGCUGGCAUUGACAUAAUGUUCACUCUGGGGGAAGCCAGCUGCCACGCUGUAAGGACACUCGGGCAGUCCUAUGAAGAGGCCCGUGUGGUGAGAAAGAGAGGCCUCCAGCCAACAGCCAUGUGAGUGGGCCAUUGAGGAAGCAGCCUCAGUGCCUGCAGCCCUGACUGGCAUCCUGAACUACCACCUUAAAUGAGACCCUGAGCCAGAGUCACUACUUCCAAAUUCUUGACCCACAGAAAUUGUGAAAUAAUAUUUGUUGUUUUAAGCCGCCAAGUUUUGGGAGUAAUUUGUUAUAUAGCAAAAGAUAAUUAAUACAUUCACUUCCUAAGAUUAUGGUGAAGAAUUAAGGAUACAGCAGAUGGGGUCUUGCUAUGUUUCCCAGUUGGAGUGCAGUGAUUAUUCACAGACAUGAUCCCACUACUGAUCAGCAUGGGAGUUUUCACCUGCUCCAUUUCCCACCUGGGAGGUCAUCAUAUUGAUGGCGAGCUAAGUGUGGACACCUGAUCAGCAUAGCACAGUACAGCCCAGAACCCCUGGGCUCCAGUGAUCCUCUUACUUCAGCCUCUUGAGUAGCUGGAACUACAGGCCUGCACCACUGCACCCGGCUAGUUUGUUUUUGUUAGAGUUUUGUCUCUAGGAUUUUCCUCAGCUGAGUAUGUGAAGGCUAACUUCUCCUUGUGAAUCUGCAAAUAUCCUUAUUUUACCCUUUAUUUUACCAUGUAUCAUUUACAGGUAAAUGAUAUCUUAGCUGUGUAUUGAAUUUCUGUUUUUUGUUUUUUCUUCAGUACUCUAUAAAUAUUACUCCAGUAUCUUCUAGCUUCUCCCAUUUUCUCCUAGUGAAUGGUUAUUCUGCUCUUAUCUAGCAGGUGAUAAAUCUGUCAACAGAUAGUUUUUCCUUUUUGUUUUAUGUGUAAGUUGUUAUUUCUUCCUUAAAGUUCAUAAUCUUUUCCCAUUUAUUCUCUAAAUUUUAGACUAUAACCAGGAUGUGUUUAGGUUGAUAUCUUUGCUUAUCUAUUCUGCCUGGAAAUCAGGAACCUCUUCCAAUAUUCAGACUUGUGUUUUCAGCUCAGAAUAAUUAUUUUAUCAUUUGUUUGAUUAUUCCUUUAGUUGCACUGGAUCUUAGUUAAAAUGCCCAUUCUGAUUCAAAGUAUCUGGAAGGCAAGUAUUUGUCAACUAAGGGAAAGGUGACCAUGCAUCAUUGGUUUUGCUGAGACUACCUGGUUUACACCUUCAGGCUUUAUACUUAGAAAAUAUUGCGAUCAUCUUCUGGUCAUGAAGUUACAAACUUCAGGACAAAGGCUAACCAGCUAAGACUAGCAGAGCAAAUUCCAAGAACUUGGGGCUUUAAUUAACUUGAAUUGAUUUGGACUUGCCCUACCUUUAACUUCACACUGAGAUAAAAAUUCCCCACAUUUUCAAGCCAUUUUUGAGAUGAGUCUCUUAUGGUUGAAAGCAUCCUAAUUUAUACAACAUCCUUUUGGUACCUAACUAAAUAUUCACCAAUAUUUGGCACAUUUGUUAAAUCUUUUGGUGUGUGCCUCUUCUAUGUAAUGUAAAUAUGGUCUGAAUAUCCAUUCAGAAAUUAUAGUUGAUUUGCAAAAAUAACUACUAUAUCACCUAUAUUAAUUGAUAGUUAUUCCUUCCCAACCUUCUUUCACUCUUCCAUAUAUAUACAGAGUAAAUCUACAUCAUUAUGUUGAUUAAACAAAAUAGCAGUGAAAUCAGGAUGUUACUGCUCAUUGUGCAUUUAUUUCAAUUAUGGAAAAAGCCAACACUUUACUCCCUUAUUUAACACUUCUGUAGAAAAGCAGUUGAAAUAACCUAGUGUCAUUCUAAAAUGAUUUGUAUACUAUGUAGACCAGAAUCUAGGGCUAUACCUAAAAAUACAUAAAUGAAAUUAUUCUAGAAGUUAAAUCUUCAUGAAAAAACAAAUUAAAUGGUUUACUAACCUCAAGCUGAUUAAAUGUUUUUAUUAAAUGCAGCCUCAGCCAGCACCUCUUUUCAUGGCUGCAAUAAUUAAGUAUAAUAAAUAUUCAAAUCAGUAAUUGAAUUUGUUAAAAAAAACAUGCUCAGCUCAGUGAAGACUUUCUAAUAAAUAGAAUUCAGGUACCAUAUUUUCAUACUUCAUGACACUUGCCUCAUCUUAGUUUGAUGACUGCCGUUUCUUGCACUGUAACAAGAUUUUAUUUUUAUUUUGUUUUACGCUAUUCAAACAAAUACAUUCAAAGUCAUAGGCUACACCUAUGUAUAACCAUAUUCUGAGAGUUGGCUUAUGUGUUUGUUUAUUUUCUCACAAUUAAAGAUAGGUCAGAUGUUGCCAAAUUAGUAAAUAACUAAACUUGAGAUGGGAAAUACUCUAGAGACACAAUCUGCUUAGUUUUGCAUAGUUUUGCAUAGUUUUAGUCACUUUUCCCGUUACUCUGUCCAGCUUUCCAGUAAUACUCAUAACAUUGCCUUGAUUUCAUAUGACCACGCAGUAAAGUGAUUACUGCACUUAGAAUUUUGUUGCUUUUGCUGUGCUAACAACUUAAAAGUUUAAAAUAACUGAUGUUCAAAACAGUGAAGAUUUCCUUUUAUAAACAAGUUGGAAAGGAAAGUUUUUAUGUUAUUAUCCUCAAGUAUUCUAACUAAUAUAAAAUGUCUUUCAGUCUUUUAGGCAAACCAUUUAGACAAAAAGUACAAAUAAUAAAUUUACAUUGUGUUAAGCUGCGAUCAUAUUUCUUUCUCUUGAUUUACUUUUGAAAUUUUCCUUAUGCACCUGGUGAUACUGAAAGAUGAGUCAAAUAGUGUAAUACAAUAGGGCAAUAUGAACUUCUGUUGUAGUUUCCAUUAGUUGCAUCAAUUCAAAUUGCACCUGGAAAAGAUCUAAGCACGACAUAAAGCCAAGACAGCACAUAAGGGUGAUGGCAAACAAUAAUAAUAUUUACAUCUUUUUUUUUUUUUUUUUUGGAGACAGAAUCUCACUCUGUCGGCCAGGCUGGAGUGCAGUGGCGUGAUCUCGGCUCACUGCAACCUCCGCCUCCUGGGUUCAAGCGAUUCUCCUGCCUCAGCCUCCUGAGUAGCUGGGACUACAGGGUCCUGCCACGAUGCCCAGCUAAUUUUGGUAUUUUUAGUAGAGACGGGGUUUCACCAUAUUGGCCAGGAUGGUCUCAAACUCCUGACCUUGUGAUCCACCCAAUCUUCAUUGCAUCAUUUAACUUUCAUUGGUAUCACAGUAAUUCACUAACAUUCAUUCCUUACAGGCAGUUAUGAAUAAUUGAAAAAUUUUUAACAUCAUCUCAUGGGCAAAAGAAUAUUUAUUCAUUGGCUUAGCUUAACAAAUCAUUAUUAAACACCUACUGUGUGCCAGGCACUGUUCUAGACACUGGAGUUACAGCAGUGAACAAAAUAAACACGCUCUCCAGUCUGGUGGAGUUCACAUACUGGUGCGGGGAGAGAGAUGCAUACAAACAAAAAUGCAUAUUUAAUACUUCACCAAUUGAUAGGUGCUAUGAAGAAAAAUAAACCAUAGUAAGGAUGACAUAGAGUGCUGGAUGGAGGUUUUAGUACAUAUACGUUAGCCAGAGAAGGCAUCUCUGAGAAGUUGCCAUUUGAGAAAAAGAGGGAGUAGGCUCAGUGGAUUCUGAGGGAAGAAUAAGUUUGAGAUUCUGAGUCAUUCAUGUCCUUGGCAGAUCAAUAAAGAGGAAGCAGAUGCUGUGGCCGGAACUCAGUGUGCAUGUUGGGGCAGUGGUAGGAGGCUAUGGUUGUAAGACAGGGCUACCUCCCAUAGGGUCUUGAAGACCAUAGUAAAGACUGUGGCAUCUCCUCUCCAGUAGUUUGAGCAGAGGAAUGGUAGCAUUCUACUUAGGAUUUAAAAGGUUUGCUCUAGCUGAUUUGUGGAGAAUAGGUUUGUAAGGCAGCAUAGUGAAUGAAAGGAGAAAAGUUAGGCGAUUGCAAACAUCCAGGUGAGAGUUGAUAUCAGACGGUGAUGGUGUCACAGAUGCGUUUCAUGCGAUGGGCUCAAUUAAUGGCCUCCAUGUUUCACCCUUCUCUUUCUUGGGACUGGCUUGCCUGCUGGAAGGUGAGGAAACAGCCUGUCAUCCCAGCUGAGGCCAUCCUAGAUCAGCCAACUGUCAGCUGCUUGUGUGUCAGUGAACCCCAGCCAAGACCGGAAGACCUGCCCAGCUGAGCUCAGCCAAGAUCAGCAAAACCUCUCAGCUUAUAACCUUAUAAACUUACCAAUUUAGGUGUGGUUGUGACACAGAAUUAUUGUAUUAUUGUAUGCAUGGUGAGUAUUGUAUAUUACACAUGGGAAUCAUAGAAACAGUGAAAAGCCAGUAAUUUCUGAGUAUAUAUUAAAGUUAGGGCAAAUUGUGUGAGGUGGAGAAGCCACAUACUCCAAAUUUCUGGCCUGAGACAUUGGAAGAAUGAAUAUGGAUGAUGGAGGUGGAUAUUGAAUCUGAAAUGAAUUUUUCAUUUUGUGAAAUUUUGUGAAGUUUCAUUUUGUGUUGAAUAUCUUG
rnacentral:lncRNA from 1 species